GGCCACGUAGCUCAGCUGGUAGAGCGUACGCACACAAAGCGUAGGCGGCGUCCAUGCGUGGGUUCGAAUCCCACCGAAGCUA
rnacentral:tRNA from 1 species